rnacentral:rRNA from 1 species
AUUGAACGCUGGCGGCAAGCCUAACACAUGCAAGUCGAACGAGUGGCGGACGGGUGAGUAAUGUCUGGGAAACUGCCUGAUGGGGGGGGAUAACUACUGGAAACGGUAGCUAAUACCGCAUACCAUCAGAUGUGCCCAGAUGGGAUUAGCUAGUGGGUGGGGUAAAGUCUAACCAAGGCGACGAUCCCUAGCUGGUCUGAGAGGAUGACCAGCCACACUGGAACUGAGACACGGUCCAGACUCCUACGGGAGGCAGCAUUGGGGAAUAUUGCACAAGGGGCGAAAGCCUGAUGCAGCCAUGCCGCGUGUAUGAAGAAGGCCUUCGGGUUGUAAAGUACUUUCAGCGGGGAGGCGUUACCCGCAGAAGAAGCACCGGCUAACUCCGUGCCAGCAGCCGCGGUAAUUC